AGAACUUUUACGCGAAUCCUUUACCAGGUUGCUUGUGUAAUAGAUCACACGAAGAAGCCAGUAAACAACAACUCAACAAGAGACCAAGAUUGAGGGUUGCUUCACAAAGAUAGGUACUUUCAAUGAUCAUAAUUUGGUAGAUUAGUCCAAUAUCAAUACUUGUUCUACAAAUGCCCUAUAAGGGGUUGCUAGAAGUCGGGUUUUUCAUCGCCCUUCACACUGCGCGGCAAGCAAAAACAAAGAGAGAUUGUUGUAACAAGCAAAGCAGUACUUGGAAGCAGAGAUGAUGUUUUAUAAGAUGGACAAAAGAAAAGCAUAUACACAAAGCAGAGAGAUAUACUCAAAAAUCAUUCUUUAGGGUGGAAUAUAAAAAAUUUCAUUCAUUUAUUUGUUUUUAUUUUGGUUCUGAGUUAGUUUUGUGAUAUAGGUUCAACACGGAUUGAUCAUAUAUGUAUUACCAAUUCAUGAAAAUGAUAUACAGAUCUUUACACAGAUGCAGAUUUGCUCUUCCUAGACAAAUGUUUGUGUUAGCCUUUCAUUUUUAGCUUAAAAAACUACGUAAUGUGUGUAUUAGACGCAUGUCAGGUGUUCAAAUCCUAGUAUUUGAGUAGAGAAGGGUAAUACGAUGAGUCUAUUAUCCACCGAGUUUUGGAUGUGUUUUAACUGAUCCAAGAGAUUUCUCGAUUAUAAAAAAAAAAAAAAGUACUAUAUGGAUCAUUCCACCCUUAGGAAGAUUGUGGUUCAGUUUGAACUGCUCCCCUGAUAAAUUGAUCCAAAUAUAUAGUCUGAUAUACUCUUUAAUUUUGUAAUUUGGAGCUAAUAUAUUUCUUGUUACAAAAAUGAUUCACAUAUAUCCUUUUCAUCUAACGAAAGUGAAAAUAAAUUUAUUUUUUUAUUUUUUGAAAAAUCAUAUAGGAAUAUAUAUAAUCCCUCUUAAAAAAUAAAUCUUGCAAUACCUAGUAACUGCUCCACUAGACCACUACCACUAGCAUUCAAAGAGAGGUUGCAACUUCUAAGACUCAUUUUAUUAAAGAGUUUAAGUAAUAUUUGUCGUAUAAAUAAUUUUUACAUUAUCAGGUUACUUGUUAUAGCAUUUAAACUCUUUAUUAAAUAGGUGGUUAUUCUUUAUUUUAUUUUUUUGUCAUUCAUAAAAAUAUAAGUAUAUGUUUGUAUUCCUCAUGUCAAAGCUCCAGCUAGAAGCAUGAAUUGUGGUCCUACCAGUUUUUGCAAGUAUAAGCUAAGCACCUUGACAUUAAAGUUGUUGCCACUUUAUUCAAUUCCAAGCUGUCUAGGACAAAAUAUUUAAUAGGAUUCACAAUGGACAUGGAAAAUUAUGAGGAAUUAUACUUUCUUGGCUAUUUAUAACAGAGGAAAAUAAUUUUUUCAAAUCUGUUAUGUGUGAAAAUGAAUUUCUUAUAAGCUAUUGUAUGGAUGUGUUUUAGUGAAUGGCGAAGAUGUUAUGUUGUUGCUAAUUAUGUUUAGUGGAUUAUGGCAGAUAUGUGAUAUGGUUGCUAUUGCUAAAAUAAUGAAUGCCACUCUGGUGCUUCCUUCUCUUGACCAUGAAUCGUUUUGGACCGAUACUAGGUACUGUUCUUUAGUUCUUGUGAUCAGUCGACAAUGACCCCAUCUUAGCACCUCUUCAUUUCCGUUCUAAUAAUGUGUCGCUUCUUGCAGUGAUUUUAAAGAUCUUUUCAAGUGGAGACACUUCAUUAAAGUUCUCAAGGAUGAUAUUGAGAUUGUUGAGUCGUUGCCACCGAAAUAUGCAGCUGUGAUACCCCUUCAAAAGGCACCUGUGUCAUGGUCAAAGGUUUGUAAACAAAACUACUAUGUGCUAUAGCUUUAGUUUUUUUAGUUUUUGUGGCGGAAACUAAAGUAUGAUGCUUCAUUGCAGGCUAGUUACUAUAGAGGAGAGAUACUUCCUUUACUAAAGAAGCACAAGGUGAUACAAUUUACCCAUACAGAUUCAAGGCUUGCUAACAAUGGCCUAGCAUCGUCCAUUCAAAGGCUUCGCUGUAGAGCUAAUUAUCAGGCUCUGCGUUAUACGAAUGAGAUAGAGGAGUUUGGAAAGAAGUUGGUUGAUAGACUUAGAGAUAAUGGUGAACCAUUUAUCGCUCUUCAUUUAAGGUAAUCUAUCUUAACACUUUGUGUUUCUUUGUCUAUUCUUUAACCAUUGAUCUAUGAGUAACUUGGUAUAUUUCUCAAUCGUGCAGAUACGAGAAAGACAUGCUAGCGUUUACUGGCUGCAGCAACAAUUUGACUAUUGAAGAGGCUGAAGAACUUCGUACGAUGAGGUAUGAAGUGAAACAUUGGAAGGAGAAAGAGAUAGACAGCAAGGAAAAACGACUCCAAGGAGGCUGCCCCAUGUCCCCUAGAGAGGCUGCUUUAUUUCUCAAAGCGAUGGGAUAUCCGUCCACGACCAGAAUAUACAUUGUUGCAGGGGAAAUUUAUGGCAACAACAGCAUGGAUGAAUUCCGUUCUCAUUACCCGAAUGUGUACUCUCACUCAACCCUUGCAACAAAUGAAGAACUCGAGGCUUUUAAGAAUUAUCAAAACCGUCUUGCUGCAGUAGACUACAUGGUAGCCCUUGAAAGUGAUGUUUUUGCUUACACUUACGAUGGCAAUAUGGCAAAGGCCGUGCAAGGUCAUAGACGGUUUGAAGGAUUUCGAAAGACCAUUAGCCCGGACAGGUAUGUUUAGCAUCCUCAAUGCUUUACAUCUUCCCUUUUCAUCACUUAAAUCAAACUAACACUAAUAUUAAUACUUUUUCUUCUUUUCAGGUUCAAUUUUGUAAGAUUGAUCGACUCGUUAGAUAAAGGUGAAGUCUCUUGGGAAGAGUUUGCUUCAAAAGUUAAGGCCUUACAAUCCAACAGAUUAGGAGCACCUUACCUAAGACAAGCCGGUGAAUCACCACGAUUAGAGGAGAACUUUUACGCGAAUCCUUUACCAGGUUGCUUGUGUAAUAGAUCACACGAAGAAGCCAGUAAACAACAACUCAACAAGAGACCAAGAUUGAGGGUUGCUUCACAAAGAUAGGUACUUUCAAUGAUCAUAAUUUGGUAGAUUAGUCCAAUAUGUACUUGUUCUACAAAUGGCCUAUAAGGGGUUGCUAGAAGUCGGGUUUUUCAUUGCCCUUCACACUGCGCGGCGAGCAAAAACAAAGAGAGAUUGUUGUAACAAGAAAAGCAGUACUUGGAAGCAGAGAUGAUAGUUUAUAAGAUGGACAAAAGAAAAGCAUAUACACAAAGCAGAGAGAUAUACUCAAAAAUCAUUCUUUAGGGUGGAAUAUAAAAAAUUUCAUUCAUUUAUUUAUUUUUAUU
rnacentral:lncRNA from 1 species